rnacentral:rRNA from 1 species
GAAUGCUGACAUAAGUAACGAUAAAGCGGGUGAAAAGCCCGCUCGCCGGAAGACCAAGGGUUCCUGUCCAACGUUAAUCGGGGCAGGGUGAGUCGACCCCUAAGGCGAGGCCGAAAGGCGUAGUCGAUGGGAAACGGGUUAAUAUUCCCGUACUUGGUGUUACUGCGAAGGGGGGACGGAGAAGGCUAUGUUGGCCGGGCGACGGUUGUCCCGGUUUAAGCGUGUAGGUGUGUGUUCCAGGUAAAUCCGGUUCACUUUAACACUGAGGCGUGACGACGAGGCACUACGGUGCUGAAGCAACAAAUGCCCUGCUUCCAGGAAAAGCCUCUAAGCAUCAGGUAACAUCAAAUCGUACCCCAAACCGACACAGGUGGUCAGGUAGAGAAUACCAAGGCGCUUGAGAGAACUCGGGUGAAGGAACUAGGCAAAAUGGUGCCGUAACUUCGGGAGAAGGCACGCUGACACGUAGGUGAAGUGAUUUACUCAUGGAGCUGAAGUCAGUCGAAGAUACCAGCUGGCUGCAACUGUUUAUUAAAAACACAGCACUGUGCAAACACGAAAGUGGACGUAUACGGUGUGACGCCUGCCCGGUGCCGGAAGGUUAAUUGAUGGGGUCAGCGCAAGCGAAGCUCCUGAUCGAAGCCCCGGUAAACGGCGGCCGUAACUAUAACGGUCCUAAGGUAGCGAAAUUCCUUGUCGGGUAAGUUCCGACCUGCACGAAUGGCGUAAUGAUGGCCAGGCUGUCUCCACCCGAGACUCAGUGAAAUUGAACUCGCUGUGAAGAUGCAGUGUACCCGCGGCAAGACGGAAAGACCCCGUGAACCUUUACUAUAGCUUGACACUGAACAUUGAGCCUUGAUGUGUAGGAUAGGUGGGAGGCUUUGAAGUGUGGACGCCAGUCUGCAUGGAGCCGACCUUGAAAUACCACCCUUUAAUGUUUGAUGUUCUAACGUGGACCCGUUACCCGGGUUGCGGACAGUGUCUGGUGGGUAGUUUGACUGGGGCGGUCUCCUCCUAAAGAGUAACGGAGGAGCACGAAGGUUGGCUAAUCCUGGUCGGACAUCAGGAGGUUAGUGCAAUGGCAUAAGCCAGCUUGACUGCGAGCGUGACGGCGCGAGCAGGUGCGAAAGCAGGUCAUAGUGAUCCGGUGGUUCUGAAUGGAAGGGCCAUCGCUCAACGGAUAAAAGGUACUCCGGGGAUAACAGGCUGAUACCGCCCAAGAGUUCAUAUCGACGGCGGUGUUUGGCACCUCGAUGUCGGCUCAUCACAUCCUGGGGCUGAAGUAGGUCCCAAGGGUAUGGCUGUUCGCCAUUUAAAGUGGUACGCGAGCUGGGUUUAGAACGUCGUGAGACAGUUCGGUCCCUAUCUGCCGUGGGCGCUGGAGAACUGAGGGGGGCUGCUCCUAGUACGAGAGGACCGGAGUGGACGCAUCACUGGUGUUCGGGUUGUCAUGCCAAUGGCACUGCCCGGUAGCUAAAUGCGGAAGAGAUAAGUGCUGAAAGCAUCUAAGCACGAAACUUGCCCCGAGAUGAGUUCUCCCUGAGACUUAAAGUCUCCUGAAGGAACGUUGAAGACGACGACGUUGAUAGGCCGGGUGUGUAAGCGCAGCGAUGCGUUGAGC